AUUGAACGCUAGCGGGAUGCCUUACACAUGCAAGUCGAACGGAGUGGCGAACGGGUGAGUAAUGUAUCGGAACGUGCCCAGUAGCGGGGGAUAACUACGCGAAAGCGUAGCUAAUACCGCAUACUAUUGGAGCGGCCGAUAUCGGAUUAGCUAGUUGGUUGGGUAACGGCUCACCACGGCGACGAUCCGUAGCUGGUUUGAGAGGACGACCAGCCACAAUGGGACGGAGACACGGCCCAGACUCCUACGGGAGGCAGCAGGGGGGAAUUUUGGACAAUGGGGGAAACCCUGAUCCAGCCAUCCCGCGUGGGCGAGGAAGGCCUUCGGGUUGUAAAGCACUUUCAGCGAGGAGGCGUUACUCGCAGAAGAAGCACAGGCUAACUCCGUGCCAGCAGCCGCGGUAAUAC
rnacentral:rRNA from 1 species